ACAGUGAAUUUCGUAGCCUCUU
rnacentral:siRNA from 1 species